rnacentral:sRNA from 1 species
UGUGGAGCCAUCUUGCUGGCCCCAAAGCUUGCUUUGUAGAAUCUAAUACGAGGUUUCCUCUGAUGCCCUGAUUUCAAGGUAUCCCAGAAUUCAGUGCCUGGGCCUCUUCUCCAUCUUCUCCCUCGUCUAUGACUUGUGGGUUUCUGUUGGUCGGUUGGUGGUUGGUCGGUUGGUGGUUGGUUGGUCGGUUGGUUGGUUUUUGAUUUUGAGUAUCUUACCUCCAGGUCCUUCCUGAAGUCUCUCUGGAGUGUACAGACCACAGUGGUACCUCUCUCCCCUCUUCUAUUAACAGAGCCCUUCCUCCCUAAUAAUCUUACUAUGGAUAUACAAAUACACCAGUGAAAAACACAGUCUGCCCUCUGGAUAUGUAGGGGAUGUCUCUCCUUGAUUUCUGCAGCAGCAUGGGGUUUUAAUACAGAAUUGUCUUGUUUUUAAAUGGAGUCCCGGCUGGCAGUCCUUUGUCUAAGGCUACUGGAUGGGAAGCUGUGAGAAGCAUGGGUCUCUCAUUUCCUGCUGUGAGAGAAUGAAAAGAUUCCUAAAGCUCUGGCUGCACAGGAAAUUAUGUGCAACGAGGCUCCUCCUGCUUUGCUACUUGUUAUGGGCUGAAUGAAGGCUUCCUCAACAGAAACGGAAGUAAAAAUGACUACAGGAUGGCACAGCAACAAGAAAUAUCAGACGCCUUUAGAGCUUUCCUUACAAGAGGAAGAGUUCAUACAAGAGGAGCGGUAUCAUGUGAGGAAUCGAAUCUUCUAGAAGGAAUGAUUUUCUGGAACCUAAUAAUACCUUGAAAUGUUUGAGAACAGCAGUAUGACCAGUUUUGACGAGGACAUUCGAUGUGUGCACAUACGCGUUUUAUGCCCUCUCUAGUUUAUCUUGGCGUCCGAAUGUUGAGCCUGAUAAGGAAGAGCCAAGGUUUACCUUCCCUCUGGGAGGCACUGGUCCUGCCUAGCUAAGCCUGUGUUUCCAGACUUGCAGAUAUAAUCUGCACCUAAAUAAAGCCCUCAGGGCUUGGGUUUAACUCCGCGGCUGGCUACUAAUUGGCUCUGAUGGCCAAUGCUGCAAAACGAGAUGAAGAACCACUGUCAGUGCUUUGUCUUCAGCUUGUCUAGGGCUUCUUCGUUUCUGGUUUCUGGAGAUAAGGUUUUUAAAAAGAGCAACCAAGGCUGUGCAUGGCGGGACACAUCUUUAAUCUCAGGACUCAGAGGCAGAGGGACACCUGUGUGAGUUGGAGGCCAGCCUGGUCAACAUAGAGAGCUCCAGGUCAGCCAAGGUUACACAAACUCCAUCUCAGAAGGAGGAAAAAGAUAAUUAUUUAGGGUAAUCAUCUUUCUUAGUAUAUACUAAUAUGCCUGGUAGAUUUCCAGUAAUAUAUUUUAAAUCCUCUGUGUGUGUGUGUGUGUGUCCAUCAGAGGAAAACUAUUGGAGCUGAUUUGUUCUAGCCUCCUUUAUGUGAAUAGAAGGGCUAGAACUCAGGUUAUCAGGCUUGAAUGGCCAAUGUCUUUACCCACUAAGCCAUCUUGCCAGCCCCCUGGCUCAUGUCUUUAUAUGAAAAAGAGAUUAGGAUUUAGACACAUACAGAAGAAGGACGAUCUGCACAGAGAGAUCCCGGCUACAAGGCAAAGACAGAGGCCUCAGGAAACCAACCUUGAAGAUGUCUCAAUCUAACUUCUCAUCGUGAGGGAUGAGGAAAUCAACCUUGUCAAGGAAGAAGUGGGGUGGAGAACAAGGUGCCACAGGCUCCUGCGACUCCUUCAAGAAUCCUGACCUGGCGUCAAAUCUAAGAUGGCUCCCGGCACGCUCAUGAGGCAGCAAAAGGAACCAAGGCCAGGGCAGCACCCCUCCCCCCACCCCACUCCAGCCCCUACCCCCUAUCUUAAGAAAAGUCCUCACAGGUGAAAGUACUCUCCCCCCGCACACCCCCGCCCACACACACACACACACACAUUCCUUCUGAGUGACUUCCUCAGGCAGGGCUUUCAUUGGAGCAGGAUAACAGUGUGGUGAGAUGCCAUUGGCCGAGGACUUAGGGCCCUGGGAUUGGCUCAGACUCUGUAUAUAAGUAAGCUUAUGGGCUGGGCAAUAAACUGAAAUCUGCACCCUGGUGCUUGUCUCCAGAGUCAGAUUUCCCAGCACAGCACAUGACUCUAUCGCCUCACACCCUGCAUCUUCACAUCCACGCAUCCUGGGUCCUGUUCCCACGCCUUGCCUCCAGAAUUGUGGGGAAA